rnacentral:rRNA from 1 species
GAUCCUGGCUUAGGACGAACGCUGGCGGCGUGCCUAAUACAUGCAAGUCGUAACGGCUUUUCUAUGGAAGCUUGCUUCCACUGAAAAGAUAGUGGCGAACGGGUGAGUAACACGUGGGGUAACCUGCCCAUAAGAGGGGGGAUAACAUCCGGAAACGGGUGCUAAUACCGCAUAGUUUUCUUGAUCGCAUGAUCGGGAAAGGAAAGACGGCCUUUGUGCUGUCGCUUAUGGAUGGACCCGCGGCGUAUUAGUUAGUUGGUGAGGUAACGGCUCACCAAGACGAUGAUACGUAGCCGACCUGAGAGGGUGAUCGGCCACAUUGGGACUGAGACGCGGCCCAAACUCCUACGGGAGGCAGCAGUAGGGAAUCUUCCGCAAUGGACGAAAGUCUGACGGAGCAACGCCGCGUGAGUGAAGAAAGGUUUUCGGAUCGUAAAACUCUGUUGUCAGAGAAGAACAAGUUGGAGAGUAACUGCUCCAGCCUUGACGGUAUCUGACCAGAAAGCCACGGCUAACUACGUGCCAGCCGCAGC